rnacentral:tRNA from 1 species
CUUUUAAAGGAUCCAU